rnacentral:rRNA from 1 species
ACGAACGCUGGCGGCGUGCUUCACACAUGCAAGUCGAACGGAAAGGCCCUGCUUUUGUGGGGUGCUCGAGUGGCGAACGGGUGAGUAACACGUGAGUAACCUGCCCUUGACUUUGGGAUAACUUCAGGAAACUGGGGCUAAUACCGGAUAGGAGCUCCUGCUGCAUGGUGGGGGUUGGAAAGUUUCGGCGGUUGGGGAUGGACUCGCGGCUUAUCAGCUUGUUGGUGGGGUAGUGGCUUACCAAGGCUUUGACGGGUAGCCGGCCUGAGAGGGUGACCGGCCACAUUGGGACUGAGAUACGGCCCAGACUCCUACGGGAGGCAGCAGUGGGAAUAUUGCACAAUGGGCGGAAGCCUGAUGCAGCAACGCCGCGUGCGGGAUGACGGCCUUCGGGUUGUAAACCGCUUUCGCCUGUGACGAAGCGUGAGUGACGGUAAUGGGUAAAGAAGCACCGGCUAACUACGUG